rnacentral:lncRNA from 1 species
AAUCCAAAAUUCACAGAUUCAGUCCAAAAACACCAACAGCACAGUGAAAAGCCAAAUUGACCAAGCUAACCUCAACCAAAUUCUGUUAAAAAGGGCUCCAUGAAUUUCUCUUGAAGUCCAGAAUCCACCAAACCAAGUUUCACAGCAAUCCGACCUUCCUACGUCGCACACGAGCCAAAACACCGAAGGUCGCUGCUGAAAAUCUGCUAAACUGCAGUCCUUAAAGCUUCAAUUGAGGAAUUUAGAGUAAUUGGAGAAUUUAGAGGUGUUGGAAUGCAAAUUAUGGGUUCUCUGUGAAGGAGGGAUGAAAAGAGUUCACUGGGGUCGAACUCUAGCUAUUUAUAGGGAGUUAGAAUGGUUAGAUAAACCUCAAGAAAUAAAGAACUCAAACCUGCUGUUCCUGCAGAAACGGGUGAUUUCGGGCGCCCGGAACCAUGUGCUGGUAUCCGAAACCUCCAGGCUGCACAAAUACUCCUCUUCGGUUCCUUCGCCCGCAGUCUGCUACGCCCAUAUCCUGGUCCGGCGGACCUCACCUACCACCAACCACGUAUCAGCACAAACGAUACUCACAAGGUGAACUUUCGGACCUACUUCUGGACGCCUGAAACUAGAAUCUGAAUUGGCUUCCAGUUCUGCUCAGUUCAGCACUCAAGUUCUGGGCGACCCAAACCCUGUUCUGGGCGCCCUAAACUGGCAAAACUUCAGUUUUUGCUCCUUUGAGUGCGCCAAGUCCAUUUCUGCAUUCAUUUCGUGCAGAAACGACUCCGACUCAGUCCGACACUCACCAGAUGUGUCGACCAGUCACUAAUACUGUAGUCAAUCAUAUUCAAACCUCCGGAAUACUACAAUCAAUCUUUUAAAAAAUAGCAUUCCUAUUAAUAUCUCAAAUAAAAAUGAACGGUUAUUAUCAACCCGUUAAGAAAUGCAUUCGUAUUCAUCUAUUUUAUAACUGAUCAAUCUGUUAAAAAAUUAGCAUUCUUAUCAAUCUAUUUUACAUUAAAAUUAAAAUUAUAAAAUUUGAGUAUAAACCAUGAAUUAAAUUAAAUUUUGGAUAUCAAAUUUGAAUUAACAAUUAAAAAUUUUAAUUACAGUGUAUCAAAAUUAAAUCUUAAAUUUUAAAGAUUAAUUUGUUAAAAAAUAUCUCAAACAAAUUACAGAUAUUUUCUAAUAAAAUAUAACAUAGUAAUUUAUAAAAUAUAAUUUUUAUUAUAAAUUUUUGAAUAAAUAUGAUGUACAAAUUUAUAUUAAUUUAAAAUAAAUUAAAAUUAUUAUUACGUGUAUUUGUACGUACACUCAACUAGUAGAAUAAAAUUUCAAUAUAUAUUUGAUAAUCUAAAUGAAACUUC